rnacentral:rRNA from 1 species
UUAAGUCCCGCAACGAGCGCAACCCUAUCUUAUGUUGCCAGCACGUUAUGGUGGGGACUCGUAAGAGACUGCCGGGGUCAACUCGGAGGAAGGUGGGGACGGACGUCAAGUCAUCAUGCCCCUUAUGUCCAGGGCUUCACACAUGCUACAAUGGCCAGUACAGAGGGCUGCGAGACCGUGAGGUGGAGCGAAUCCCUUAAAGCUGGUCUCAGUUCGGAUCGGGGUCUGCAACUCGACCCCGUGAAGUCGGAGUCGCUAGUAAUCGCAGAUCAGCAACGCUGCGGUGAAUACGUUCCCGGGCCUU